UUUGAUGCUUUGGAAAUUGACAUGGUCUUUAAAGCAUAUCUUCAGUUUCUACUUUCUCUAAGCAUUUGUUGUUAAACCCUAACGAGAAUGUAGUCAUCUAGAAAUGUUUGACAUUACAAAUCUACUAAUGUUAUUUCUAUGUCGAAAAUAAUGAUUUUUUGUCUGAAUCAUCUCUAUCUCUACUCCUUCGUGCUGGACGACGAGGACUCGUUCGUGUGGCCCGCGAUGACGGACCUGUCGUUCCCUCUCCUGGAGGUUGGAGGAAGAGGUGGGUGGGGGACGCGAGGCCUCUUUCUACCCUGCUGCUGCACAAACCCACGAGAGAAUGUUUGGACGCGACUGGAAGAAGAUCGAGGAGCAUGUCGGCACCAAGACGACGGUCCAGAUACGGAGCCACGCCCAGAAAUACUUCCUCAAGGUCCAGAAGCUUGGGCUGGCUGCUGGGCUGCCGCCGAUGUACCCGAGGCACCACUUCGCCAUGCAGCAGCAGCAGCAG
rnacentral:misc_RNA from 1 species